rnacentral:rRNA from 1 species
CGGGGUGCAGCAGGCGCGAAAACUUUGCAAUAGGCGAAAGCCUGACAGGGCUAUCCCGAGUGCCAUCCGCUGAGGAAGGCUUUUACCCAGUCUAGAACGCUGGGGGAAUAAGGAGAGGGCAAGUCUGGUGUCAGCCGCCGCGGUAAUACCAGCUCUUCGAGUGGUGUGGAUGUUUGUUGGGCCUAAAGCAUCCGUAGCUGGCUAAGUUAGUCCCUUGUUAAAUCCACCGAAUUAAUCGUUGGAUCGCGGGGGAUACUGCUUGGCUAGGGGACGAGAGAGGCAGACGGUAUUUUCGGGGUAGGGGUGAAAUCCUAUAAUCCCGGGAAGACCACCAGUGGCGAAGGCUGUCUGCUAGAACGCGCCCGACGGUGAGGGAUGAAAGCUGGGGGAGCGAACCGGAUUAGAUACCCGGGUAGUCCCAGCUGUAAACGAUGCAGACUAGGUGUUUGAACGGCCACGUGCCGUUCUAGUGCCGCAGGGAAGCUGUUAAGUCUGCCGCCUGGGGAGUACGAUCGCAAGAUUGAAACUUAAAGGAAUUGGCGGGGGAGCAC